CGAUGUGGUCGGGGAAGAAGCUGCGAAUCUGGAUUUGUGAUUGUUAUAGCUCCGACGAGGAUUGGACCACUGGGGGCUAUUUGUAGCCAUCAGAUUCUUCCUUCCGGCCAUCUUUCUACCGCUAGGGGUAGUGUGGGACUCUCUUCUUGCUUCGACGUGAAGCUCUCGGCCAGACAUCAGAGAUCGAUUCAGGGGGAUUCUUGUUGGUGGCAGAGGU